CCAAGCUAGAAAAUAAAGGAUGGAGGCCAAGGCGAACAAUCAUCGUCUGCAAUUGGGAUGCAGAAGAGUUUGCGCUGGGUCUACGGAAUGGACCGAGGAGGACAUGGAUAUGCUUGCUUCAAGAGGUGUUGCUUAUCUGAAUGUAGACAUGUCAAUGUUUGGGCCUGGAAGUCUUAUGCCCCGUGCAACACGACAACUAUGAAUUAAUCAAUGAAGCAAGCAGAAUGGUACCCGAUCCUGAUGAUCCGUCUCAUACCUUGUAUGACUACAUGGCACAAAUGAGCGAUCAUGAGAGCUUCAUUUGAUUGAAACAUACUGAAGUAUUAAGCUCCUAUUUUCAUACUGCAAGAGUGGCCGGUGCAGGAACAGAUUUUGCAGCUUUUGUCGAGCACAUUGGAGUCCCUUCACUUGACAUCUCUUAUGGAUUAUUUUCAGAAUACCCUGUCUACCACUCGCUAUACGAUGAUUUUGAUUGGAUGGAGCAGUUUGGAGACCCUUUGUUCCACAGACAUGUAAUGAUGAGAUCAUUCCCUUCAAUUAUGUCCCCUACGUGUCUGAACUGGAGGUAUUUUCUCUUCUGGCAACUGAGAUAGACACACAGGGUAAUCCCCUAAUUCAGUUUCAUCAAGGAAACUGAAACAGAAUCAUGAAUUCAUGAUAGACUCGCUUCUUAUUGAUUGGUACACACAUUUUUUUCAUGAAAUUAUCGUUAAGUGUGGCAUGUAGAAGUAGCUCCAACAAUUACUUGAAACAUGGACUAUCUGCCGUCCUCAUGACAACAGAUGUUGCAAGCACAAAAGAAGGGCCAUAACACGAGGGUACGCAUGCUGAAAGUCAAAGAGAUCAACGACCGAUGGACGAUGGCGGAGCGAGCCUUCACCAACCAAGAGUGGCUCGGAGGGAGACCGUGGUCCAAACAUAUGAUGAGCAUCAAAGCUGCAGGCUUGUUACAUAGUACUGUAGUUGUCUGAACUCCGAAGUUAGUCUGAAACUAACCACAGUAAUGGUUUUUCUCCUUCGGCAGAUUUAUGCCUCGUCGGACCAGGACGACUGGUGGGGUACCAAAGCCUUCCCCGGCAUCAUCUCGGCCAUCGUGAACGCGCAGAAGCUCAACACGUCGGAAUCUUGGCGGCUGUUGCAGCAUGAGAUUUACAUGGGUGCAAGGACCUUAUUUGUUAUGAAAUGGCAUAUUGUUAUUCGUAUGUGUAUUAUUGACUUGCCAAAUUCUUGACCUCCUAUGGUAUGAUCAGAUCAAUAUAAAGAGUGUGGCUUCUAUUCUUUUA